CUGGCGGCGUGCCUAAUACAUGCAAGUCGAACGGCUUUUCUAUGGAAGCUUGCUUCCACUGAGAAGAUAGUGGCGAACGGGUGAGUAACACGUGGGUAACCUGCCCAUAAGAGGGGGAUAACAUCCGGAAACGGGUGCUAAUACCGCAUAGUUUUCUUGAUUGCAUGAUUGAGAAAGGAAAGACGGCCUUUGUGCUGUCGCUUAUGGAUGGACCCGCGGCGUAUUAGUUAGUUGGUGAGGUAACGGCUCACCAAGACGAUGAUACGUAGCCGACCUGAGAGGGUGAUCGGCCACAUUGGGACUGAGACACGGCCCAAACUCCUACGGGAGGCAGCAGUAGGGAAUCUUCCGCAAUGGACGAAAGUCUGACGGAGCAACGCCGCGUGAGUGAAGAAGGUUUUUCCGGAUCGUAAGACUCUGUUGUCAGAGAAGAACAAGUUGGAGAGUAACUGCUCCAGCCUUGACGGUAUCUGACCAGAAAGCCACGGCUAACUACGUGCCAGCCGCUGC
rnacentral:rRNA from 1 species